rnacentral:tRNA from 1 species
AAGAAGUUAGUUUAAUUUAACAAAACAUUUAUUUGUCAAAUAAAAACAACAAAAUAGAAUUG